rnacentral:tRNA from 1 species
GUUGGGCUCAGUGGUAGAGCACUUGCCUAGCAUGUGUGAGGCACUGGGUUCAAUUCUCAGCACCACA